UGAGGAAUCUUGCGCAAUGGGGGCAACCCUGACGCAGCAACGCCGCGUGAGUGAAGAAGGCCUUCGGGUCGUAAAGCUCUGUCAAGUGGGAAGAAUGUCCUUAAGCUGAAUAAGCUUAGGGUGUGACGGUACCACUGGAGGAAGCACCGGCUAACUCCGUGCCAGCAGCCGCGGUAAUACGGAGGGUGCAAGCGUUAUUCGGAAUUACUGGGCGUAAAGCGCGUGUAGGCGGUCCUGCAAGUCUGAUGUGAAAGCCCCGGGCUUAACCCGGGAAGUGCAUUGGAAACAGUGGGACUUUAGUACUGGAGAGGUGAGCGGAAUUCCCGGUGUAGUGGUAAAAUACGUAGAUAUCGGGAGGAAUACCAGCGGCGCAGGCGGCUCACUAGACAGUUUCUGACGCUAAGAUACGAAAGCGUGGGGAGCAAACA
rnacentral:rRNA from 1 species